ACACCUCACCCCCUCGGGUUUCCGAUCGGGUGGACUUGGGCGCUGCCAGUGAAAUGGCUCGCCUUAAACGCAUUAGCGGUUGUUGACGUAAUAAGUUUCGUCUUGUCGACCGCUCCUAAUCUCCUUCGGGAUGUCUCUGGACACUUCAUG
rnacentral:misc_RNA from 1 species